GGACUUGUAGUUCAACGGUAGAACGUUCGCUUGUAUAGGUAAUUAUCUGCGAGAGACUCGGGGUUCGAUUCCCUGCAAGUCGCA
rnacentral:tRNA from 1 species